CGCCCCGUUAUUCAGCGAAUAGGCACAACCCACUGUGUGUCUGAAACGAAAAACGUGGCUAGAGGAGCAACAGGUUGUGCUUUCCUCACUGCAAAGCCAAUUGCAGUGGUGACAAUGAGACCUGUAACAGGC
rnacentral:snoRNA from 1 species